rnacentral:rRNA from 1 species
AUACGUAGGGGGCGAGCGUUGUCCGGAAUGAUUGGGCGUAAAGGGCGCGUAGGCGGCGCGGUAAGUCUGGAGUGAAAGUCCUGCUUUCAAGGUGGGAAUUGCUUUGGAUACUGCCGCGCUUGAGUGCAGGAGAGGUUAUCGGAAUUCCCGGUGUAGCGGUGAAAUGCGUAGAGAUCGGGAGGAACACCAGUGGCGAAGGCGGGUAACUGGACUGCAACUGACGCUGAGGCGCGAAAGUGUGGGGAGCAAACAGGAUUAGAUACCCUGGUAGUCCACACUGUAAACGAUGAAUGCUAGGUGUAAGAGGUAUCGACCCCUUUUGUGCCGGAGUCAACACAAUAAGCAUUCCGCCUGGGGAGUACGGCCGCAAGGUUGAAACUCAAAUUAAUUGACGGUU